rnacentral:rRNA from 1 species
GGAGUUAGCCGGUGCUUCUUCUGCGAGUAACGUCACAGAUGUAAGGUAUUAACUUACACCCUUUCCUCCUCGCUGAAAGUGCUUUACAACCCGAAGGCCUUCUUCACACACGCGGCAUGGCUGCAUCAGGGUUUCCCCCAUUGUGCAAUAUUCCCCACUGCUGCCUCCCGUAGGAGUCUGGGCCGUGUCUCAGUCCCAGUGUGGCUGAUCAUCCUCUCAGACCAGCUAGGGAUCGUCGCCUAGGUGAGCCUUUACCUCACCUACUAGCUAAUCCCACCUGGGCUUAUCCAUCAGCGCAAGGCCCGAAGGUCCCCUGCUUUCCCCCGUAGGGCGUAUGCGGUAUUAGCAGUCGUUUCCAACUGUUAUCCCCCACAAAUGGGCAAAUUCCCAGGCAUUACUCACCCGUCCGCCGCUCGUCAUCUUCAAAAGCAAGCUUUUGAAAUGUUACCGCUCGACUUUCAUGUGUUAGGCCUGCCGCCAGCGUUCAAUCUGAGCCAGAAUCGAACCCUGA